AGCUAUGAUUUUCUCUAGGAAGGCAGCCCAGCUCAGCAGCAGUGGCACCUCUUGACACCUGGCAACACUUGAGGUGGGCCAGGAUGAGCUCUUCCUGCCACAACCCCCCUCCCCCAUCUCCAAAGUGCCAUCUUUCUGCUGACAUCACAAUGCACCUCCCCAGUCUACCAGUGACAUCACAAGGAGGCACCCCCCCAUGGUGACAAGGAGAGGCUGCUGGGCACUGCCUGUAGCCUCAAGCAGGGUUGGGGGGCUGUUUUGGUGGGUGUGGGAGCUUUAAUGGGAGGGCCCUCAGGGACAGGCAGGGCAGGGGCUGAUCGGAGAUGGAGAGGUGCUCCACCAUAAGCAUCAGCAAGAAGCAGAGUUACUUGUUCCCCACACUUCUGCGUCUCUCCACCAAAGGUAAGGGUUUUGGAAAGCCUCAGGGGGCAGAAAAGGAGGGUUGGACAGGGCAGGGGCUGCUCUGAGGGUCCCAUGGGCACAGCAUGUCCCCUUUACCAGGGCUAGCUUCUGAGCUGUGGGAGCUCUUGAGGUUCUAGCUCUUAUUGGAGGUCUGACAGCUCCUACUGGGCUCUCAGGAGCCAGCUGGAUCUUGGGUUGCCAUCUCCUUUUGGGGGUUAGAUGAUCACAGCCCUGGUUCUGAGGACUUUUCACAUCCCCAGUUCUUCCCCAGUCCUGCCUGGGGAGUAGAGAGAACCCAGCUCCUUUGGGGAGUAGAACCAGGGGCACAGUCCAGUCCAGGUUCUUUGUCAGCCCCAUCUAUCACUCCACAGAGCUCCUCAAAAUGCCACGAGUGCAACUUGACGCCUCGUUCUGGUAUUUUCCAGAGGUGGUGGCCAUCUGGGAUGUCGUGUCUGCCUACAUCCUAGGACAGAUGAAGCUGGACAAGGUUGGCUGGUGUCUUGGACCCCUGUGGUCCCCCUCCCCAAGCACCACCCCAGAGAACUCAUCUUAGUGGGCCCUGAUCGUCCAGGGGUGGAGAGACCUAGCAGAGAGAUACAGGAGGCUCCUGCUGGUCUGUGCCAAUGAUCAUCCCUGGGAAUCUUUCCCUAGGUUGGAACAGCUUGGGUCGUUCUUUAGCCAAGGAAUUUUUGUGAAUAUUUUGAAGAGGGAAAGUUAAAAAAUGAAGAACAUAGGUUUUUCCCACAGUUUUCACAUUUCCUUUUGUCAGAGUCUGGAUUAGAACAACGUCUCGAGACGUCUUGCACUUGUAAUGCCAGGGUCUGUGUCUGGUGGGAGGGGCAGGCCAGGCUUUGCAUAGUGAAGCAGAGCCCUGUCCUGCCCCCAGCCCCCAGCUGGGCUGUCAAUCAUAGCACCUAUCAGCAGUCCCACCAAGGACUUAAAACAGACUGACCACAAGGUAGCCAGCAUGUGAACUGUGCCUUGUCUGGGACUCUGGGGGAACCCAGGAGCUGGUAGCUAUAUGUGUGUGUUUUGCUGUACCUUUUCUGUCUCUCCUUCUAUUCCUCUUUUCAUGGAAACUUUUUGAGUAAAUGCUAAGUAAUGGGAUGAUUGAUAAGUGGUUUUAUGUUGAAUUUGUUAGUGUUUUUAUUCCGUUGCCAAAAUUGCCUUAGUUUUCUGUAUGUUUGCCUUUUGUGUGAUUUUUAACCUAUUGAGAAUAGCUGAUGGGGUUCCCCUCCUUUGCACCAGCAAGAGUAAAGGAACCUUGAGUUUAACCCCUGGAUUCAAGGGUCUGGGAUGUGACAGCUAUCUCAACUGUUUUGUUUUCUUCCUGGGCAGGGUGUCCUUGUCCCAGGUCUUGGGACCUUUGCUGUGGUCCCUGAACAAAUCAACAGCACAGAAGAGGUGUAUGUGGUUCGAAGACCCGUGUUCCAGCUGGACAUGGACAUGUCCUGUCUACAGGAGCUGGUGUUCCCAACAGUGAUGAUCCCUGGUGAGAAGGGAUCUAGCUCCACAUUUGGCGGGACUGCGUGCACUCUGCUCUAUAUGGCAGGGGGGAAUUGGCUCCAAAGUUGGAGGACAGCUUGAGUUGCCCCCAAACUAAACCUGUCUUUCUGACAUUUUGCCAUUAAUCUCACGUGAAAAUUUGCUCAUCUUGGUAGUGACAAUACUCUCCUCUUUGCAGGUGACAUCGUGAUCAUGCCACUGGAUUACUGGUGGCUGUCCCAGACCAAUUCCCUCCCACCCGACUUGGUGAGGGGCUGUGUGGAGGAGACCAUUCUCUUGUACUCCUUCCAGCUGAGGGACAGGCAGCACCCUGCAUUUGCCUUUGAGAAUAUUGGCAUCCUGUCCUGCCAGGACAAUGUCCUGUGCAUGCAAUUCCACUGCAGCUGCAUUGCAGGACUGGAGAGUCAGGACACCUGGGUGGCUCUGCUGCUCACGGUGAGCUGGAAUCUGGGGGCAUUGAAGUGCUGGAGAGUGCCCAGAGAAGGGCAGAGAGGCUGGGAAAGAGUCUGAAGCACAAGUCUCAUGAGGAGCAGCUGUGGGGGCUGAGCCUGAAGAAAAGGAGGCUCAGGGGGGACCUUUUUUGCUCUCUGCAUCUGCAUGAAAGGAGAGUGAGGCCAAGUGGGGUCAGCCUGUUCUCCCAGAUAACAGAAGACAAAUUGCACCAGGAGAGGUUUAGGUGGGAUUUUAGGGAAAAUUUCUUCAUGUAACAGGCUGCCCAGGGCAAUGGUGGACUCAUUAUCCCUGAAGGGAUUUAAGAGACAUGUGCAUGUGGCCACUGUUGGACUUGUUGGCCUCCAAGGGUUCUUCUUAUUGGUUCUUUGAUUCCAUGAUGUUCAUGAAUGAGAUUUGGGAAGAGGAGUUUGGAGAAGUGGCUCCUAUAGGAGCAGGAGACUGGUCUGCUUUCAUCAUGGAAAUCUCCUGACAGCUCCCUGUCACUCUGCAGAGGCUAAGUAUGCCAGGUUCUGGUGUCAACAAUGGAAUGACCACUGCUCAGGGUGUGCAGGCUGCACAGGCCCACAUGUUCCCCAGGUUUCAGCUUGUUGUGUCUGAUGCUGUUUCCACCCAACAUACAAAGGCUGCAGAGAAGCACAGUGCCAGAACAGGUAUGGAAUGGGUUCCUGCUGCUCUGUCACACAUGGGGUGAUCACAUCUGUGACUGUAAAACCUUACAGACUGCUCCCAAGAGUUUCCUCCUUUCUCAGGGGAACAAGAGCAUGCUGGAAAGUUUUCCCUCCUUGUGCUGCCAUACCAGAGGCCAGGCACAAGACAGCAAGAGCUAAGGUCAAAGCCAUCUGCCAGGUGAAACUCUUGUGGGAAUGGUUUGGAGGGAUCCUUGCACACUGGGUUAAAUCCCCCUCAGACACUUGGACUGUGUAGCAACUCAGGAAGGUCCAUGGGAACAGCCCUAGCUCCCGACUUCUCCUGAACACCUGUGGAGUUUUGGUCCCAAGGGAAACAGGUUCCCUAUCUGUCCCAUGCUCAUGCUGAUGACUGCUGGUAUUUCUGCAGUGUGCUCACCCCAUGCCUAGCCAGCUCUCCGAGGAUGAGAGAGGCAGGUAGGCAGGAGUUAUCUCCUUCAACCAGGCGUGACAUCACACUCCUGGCUUCUGAGAACUGCCAGAGAGCACUGCAGGUAUGUGCCAAAUGGAUGAGACCUGAAGGAAGCCCCUCAAAAGCUGAGACUAAUCAUGCCUGACACCUCCAGGAGGUCUGGCAGCUAUAUGCAGGAUGGGAGCAUGGGAAUUCCCACUGGAGAGAACAGAAGGUGGAAUGGGCAGCAUGGGAAGCCUGGGCUGCUGGGGAGGACCAACAGAUGCCGCAGGUAGGGGCAGAGACCCUCUGUGUGAGGUCACUCUGGCUGGACAUAGAACCCCUCUGGGACAGGGGCACAGAGGGUGGAACUGGGAGGUCAGGAGGGACCACAAAGGACUAAUGAGGCAUGGGACAGGUCCAUUGGAGAGGGGCUGGAUGUUUCUUGAGGGCUUAGGGUGUCCCAGGGGGCUUUUGGGCACUCCUGGGCUAGUUUGGGGGUAGUCCCUGGGGACUGGGGGGGACUCCUAGGACCUAGGUGAUAGGAGUCCCUGGGGACCCAGAUUAAGAAAGGAGUCUCACAUGGGGUUAGGAUGUUCUGGGGCUUCAAGGGGAUUCUUAGGACUCAAAGAGAUGGGCAUCCCAGGGGUGCAGUUGGGGGUCACCCAGGUGCAGGGCAGGGAUUUGCCUAUAUGUCCCCCAAGGGAGAACUCUGCAGUGCAAAAGCAGCCAUCUGUCAUGGUGGGGUACCAAGUCUCCUGGCUCCCACAUAUUCAGGGGCCCCCUGAGAAGUGGCAUCUCCGGUUUGCUGAGAGUGUCCCCUCCUUGGCAGAUAUUUGGCGUUGGAGGUGCUUGGGCUCCACAUCGUCCAUCCCAGCCCCCAAGAAAGGGGGUCGCUGGGAAGUGGGGGACAGCUGGAACCCCCCUCCCCACAGAGAAAAUGGCAGAGAGAUUCCAGCCUGGGACCAGACACCUUUCCCCACGAGCCAUCCAGGUGCUCCAUGGGCUGGAGCCACAUCAGACACGGAGGAACAUCUUCAUGUUUUUGGCUGAGAACAACCGGCGGCGGCAGGAGCAGCAGAGGCAGUUCUGCAGGUAACUCCACAGGAAUGGAUUUUCCCAUAUUCCUCUGCUGAAGCAGCCCCGGGGGACAGAAGUGGGAUCUGGAGGCUGCCUGUGGGCUGGACUGCCCUGGCACCUACCUGGACACCCAACAUUGGCUUCUCAUGCAGGACAGAAAGUCCUAGCUGAAGACAGAGGGACCUUGAUGGCAGGCUGUCCCCUUCCCAAAUCUGAGAGCAUGUCCUUCCCUGGCAGAGUCCUACCCCACAACACCUUGUCUUGAGUGGGGACACCUGUAUGGGACACCCAAGGUCUCAGGCCAACCUGGCUUUGCCUCAGCUGCCCCAGGGGGUGCAUCAGGGACCUUCCCACGGGCCGGGAAAUCAGAGGCAUCUCCAUGGACACCUUAACAUGAUCUGAUCUCAGGUGGCCUGAGCCAAUCCUACAGAAAUUCUCUGCCUUCUGCUUGCCUGUUUGAUCAGAUGCCUCUCUUUCUCUCUCUCCCUCUCACCUCAGCUCCAGGUGCUGUUCCAGCGCAUGAAGGGCUGGGGCUGGAGCUGUGUCUGCAGCAGAGGCUGCUGAUGAUGGGGCUGGGAGGCUGCUCACCUGCUGAGGUCCACCUGUGGAUACAAAAUAAAUACCUCUGUUCCCACCUGGACUGAGUGGUCUAGGCCUGGUGAUGAAGCUGUGAAAUGGCUGGGACCACGGGGGAUGGGACAGGGAGGGGGGCCUCAUGGGACAACAUAGGCUCUUCAGGAGGGUGACAAAGAGGCUUUGCCUCUUUACCUCCUGCUCAGGGUGGGACUGAGCAGCAGAAUAGCCCAAGGUGGGUGCCAUGUUUGCAGGUACCUGCUCUUCAGGAGGAAGAGGUAGGUGAGGCUCCUUCUCAAGCCCUGGUUCUCAUGGGGACCUGUGCCAGCCCCUAGGCCCCCCACCUUCCCCUGGUACAUGACAGGAGGAGAAUCCAGACAUCAGGGAGAGCUCCAGAGUGCAUUUCCUGGCACAGGUGAUAUGGAACCAAGAGGGAGAGGUGCCUGGAGAGCAAUGAUCACCCAUGGGACCAUUGAUGCCUGCUGGGAUGUCACUGCCCAGUGAAUUGCCACCAUCCAAAUGGAGAGACUGGGGAACACUGGAAGGAGGAGCACUGGAGAGCAGUGCAGGAGACAGGGAGCAAUGGAAGAGGCACUGGGAGCCCUGAUGAGGAUCCUGAGAGCACUGUGGAGACUGUGGAGCACUGCAGAAAUCUGUCAGUGGCCUUUACCUUCCCUCAGCCCAAAAUCUUCCCACCAACCCUGGGCCUGGGUAUAUUCCUCCCCCAGGAAGGGAAGGCAUCAAAAUUUGAACACAUCAAGGGACUGCUCCCACAAAAAAGGUGUGGGGCCAGAAAGGUCCUGGCCUUUACCUUCCCUGGGCAGAAAAGGCACCAACACAUCUCUGAGCUCUCCAGUCUGGUGUGUUGGUCCCUUUGUGAGAAUGAACACCUAUCAUUGCAGCAAGGCUUAUUGCAUCCCUAGAACUAGAAUCAAAGCCAAAAAUCUCAAGGGUUUUGUUGCAAUUGAUACAGACAAGACACCUGUUUCUUUGUGCAGAAUAGCCCAGUGUUUAUUGCACAAAGCUCAUUUUUAUAUGGUAUCAGAAGGCAUCAUGUUUGAAUUUAGUUGGCCAGCAACACAAUGAAAUUCAGUUCAUUGGUUGGUAAAGGCUAGUGUACAUGUCUGCUGAACUUUUUUCUUUCUAGAUGUGUUUGCAUUCUUUCUUCAUGGAUUCUUGUCAUAGACAUGUUUUAUGAAAAAUCCUUUCCUCAGGAUUUUUUCUCCUGAGAAGCCGAGAGGCCUCAGGAACAAAA